rnacentral:lncRNA from 10 species
UAGAAACAGAAAAGAGAUAAGUGCUUGCCAGUGGUUGGGUAUUGGAGGAAUGGGAAUGGCUGCUAAUUGGUACGGUGUUUAUAAUGUGAUGAAAUGUUUUGGAAAGAGAUACUGGAGAUGAUUGCCCAACCUCGUGAAUAUAUUAACAUCGACUGAAUUGUACCCUUUAAAAUGGUAGACUUCAUGGUUGUGCAAGAGGAAGAUGUAUGUCACGUCAAAGAAUUAUUUGCUAGUCCUAAGUCCUGAAAUUUCUAUUUUUUCCUAAACAUUUUAUGGUUUUAUAUUUUACAUAUAAGUUCAUGAGUUAAUUUUUGCAUAAAGUAUGCGUUUUAAGUUGAGCUUCUUUUUUUUGCUUACAAAUGUCACUUUGACAAAUUUUAAAACUGAGUUAUCUUUAUUACUGAGUUGUAAGAAUUCUUUCCAUCCCCUAGAUACACAUCCUUUGUCAGAUGUAUGUAUUACAAAUAUUUUCUUUUGGUCCUGGCUUGUUUAUUCAUUUGCUUAACGGUGUCUCUUAUGGUUUUACAUUUUGAUUAAACCCAAUGUGUUAGUUUUUUUGAGGUUGGUACUUUUCGGUCUCAUGGAAAAAAAUCUUUGCCAACCCCACAGUCAUGAAGAUAUUCUUCUGUUUUUCUCUAGAAGCCUUUUAGUUUUAGCUUUUGAGUUUAGGUCCAUGAUGCAUCUCAAAAUUAGUUUUUUGUGUAGCAUGAGGCAGGAACUGGAGUGGUUCUUUCACUCUGCCCACCGCUGGCCACUCCUCCGCUCAGGAGGGAGGGUGCGAGCGAGCAAGUGCAGGAACUGAAGCGAACAAACACUGGAACUGGCCAGAGUCCAAGCAUGUUAUGACCAAUACUCUGUCAGAUCAGCCGUCCAGGGACAGGGGAGUGCCAACCAGCUCACUGGAGGGUCAAGGUGGCAGCCUCUGACCUCUCAGCACCCAGGUUCUUGUCCAGCAUCCAGGAAGAAUCAAGUCACAUGAACUGUUUGAGAGGUUGAUGAAUGCAGAAGACUUUAUUGAGCAGUGGUUGGCUCUCAGCAGAAAAGGAGACUGAAAAGCGGUCGGGAAAAUGAUCUCUCUCUCCCUGAAGCCCGGCUGCCCCUCUCUGAAGCAGCCCUGUCUGAAGUUAGCCACAUCUAUCCAUAGUCUCCAACGUUCAGUUGCUUCUCUGCUCGCUGCUCAGCCACUUGUGUUGCUCUGCCAGCUGAAGUCUUCUAUGGGCACAGGAUAGGAGCAUGGCAGGCCAAAAAGGUAACUUCAUCUUGACAUUCUGCAAAACAUAAUUCUGGUCGACUACAUGAGUGGCAUGAUGCUAAUGUGACUUAUGAGCAAGAAGUGGCAAAUACCCUACAUGCCCAAGUCCGUGCAAUCUCUGGCACUAGGGGGUCAUCUGGGUUUGGAUCACAUAGCAGUGAACAAAUGGAUAAAAGAACUGCAAGAAAACAAAAACAUCUGUUACCCAGUUUCAGGAGUUUGGAUAAAUAAAUUUUUCUAAACCGUGUAUUACA